AUUGAACGCUGGCGGCAUGCUUUACACAUGCAAGUCGAACGGUAGAGGGGGCAACCCCUUGAGAGUGGCGAACGGGUGAGUAAUGCAUCGGAACGUGCCCAGUCGUGGGGGAUAACGCAGCGAAAGCUGUGCUAAUACCGCAUACGAUCUCUGGAUGAAAGCGGGGGACCGAAAGGCCUCGCGCGAUUGGAGCGGCCGAUGUCAGAUUAGGUAGUUGGUGGGGUAAAGGCCUACCAAGCCAACGAUCUGUAGCUGGGCUGAGAGGACGACCGGGCACACUGGGACUGAGACACGGCACAGACUCCUACGGGAGGCAGCAGUGGGGAAUUUUGGACAAUGGGCGCAAGCCUGAUCCAGCAAUGCCGCGUGCAGGAAGAAGGCCUUCGGGUUGUAAACUGCUUUUGUACGGAACGAAACGGUCUGGGUUAAUACCCUGGGCUAAUGACGGUACCGUAAGAAUAAGCACCGGCUAACUACGUGCCAGCCGCCGCCGUAA
rnacentral:rRNA from 1 species